rnacentral:miRNA from 1 species
UCCUAUGCUAACACGUGCGCGUG